CACCGAGGACUUGAACGCAGGGCUGGUCUGCGGUAAAAAUGACGGGCCUGCUGCACUAAUGGUACAGCAACUGGCCGUGACAGAAGCCCGCUCCCUCUGGGGCUGGAGGAAGCUGUAGUUUCUUCCCAGGAAAGAAAGCGGCGUGGGGAAGCGCUGGGUCCUGCGUGCCACCUCUGCGACCUGGCACAAGAGAGAAGACGCUGCAGCCCUCUUCUAUAGCGAAGGCACUUGAUCAGCAAGAGAGUAUUUCAGAUCGGGCUAGCAGCUCUUCUCCUUCCUUCCUAAUUUGUUUGAAACCCCGCCGCGUCCUCGGGAAGGGCUACACAGAGUUCACACGGCGAUCCCACUGCCCGCAUCAGGGCAGGAGCCGUGCUGGGCCACCCCCCAAAGCCACAGUGUCGCACCCACACCGGGGCAGCCGGCUGUCAGAUUUACCCGCAGCCGGGCAUACAUCUCAACAAGCCACCCGUCCGCCCGGCAGGACCCCCACGGCAGCGUCUCCUCCAGCAGCAGGGUAACUUGAGCGAUUGUUUGGAGAAGUUUGCCUAAAGGAGAGUUUUUUCAUUAAAUAAAGAAAAUACCUCCCGAAGAGACUCUCCGUGACCCCCGGGGCUGCAGCUGACAUGUCGGGUUUCCCAGUGAAGGUCGUCAGUGUGUUUGCAAUUAAAAUGUUUGUGUUAGAUAUUAAUAACGAUAAUCUUUACUUAAGUCCCCAGCCAAAGCAAACAGGGCCCUGGAAUCACAAAAUCAAAGGGCAAUAACUGGGUAAAGACAAGAGGUUUGUGAUUUAA